GACGAACGCUGGCGGCGUGCUUAACACAUGCAAGUCGAACGGAAAGGCCCUGCUUUUGUGGGGUGCUCGAGUGGCGAACGGGUGAGUAACACGUGAGUAACCUGCCCUUGACUUUGGGAUAACUUCAGGAAACUGGGGCUAAUACCGGAUAGGAGCUCCUGCUGCAUGGUGGGGGUUGGAAAGUUUCGGCGGUUGGGGAUGGACUCGCGGCUUAUCAGCUUGUUGGUGGGGUAGUGGCUUACCAAGGCUUUGACGGGUAGCCGGCCUGAGAGGGUGACCGGCCACAUUGGGACUGAGAUACGGCCCAGACUCCUACGGGAGGCAGCAGUGGGGAAUAUUGCACAAUGGUCGGAAGCCUGAUGCAGCAACGCCGCGUGCGGGAUGACGGCCUUCGGGUUGUAAACCGCUUUCGCCUGUUACGAAGCGUGAGUGACGGUAAUGGGUAAAGAAGCACCGGCUAACUACGUG
rnacentral:rRNA from 1 species